rnacentral:rRNA from 1 species
GUAGGGAGCAAGCGUUAUCCGGAUUUAUUGGGUGUAAAGGGUGCGUAGACGGGAAGGUAAGUUAGUUGUGAAAUCCCUCGGCUCAACUGAGGAACUGCGACUAAAACUGCUUUUCUUGAGUGCUGGAGAGGAAAGUGGAAUUCCUAGUGUAGCGGUGAAAUGCGUAGAUAUUAGGAGGAACACCAGUGGCGAAGGCGACUUCCUGGACAGUAACUGACGUUGAGGCACGAAAGUGUGGGGAGCAAACAGGAUUAGAUACCCUGGUAGUCCACACCGUAAACGAUGGAUACUAGGUGUAGGGGAUAUUAAGUCUUCUGUGCCGUCGCAAACGCAGUAAGUAUCCCACCUGGGGAGUACGGCCGCAAGGUUG